rnacentral:rRNA from 1 species
CCUACGGGGGGCUGCAGUGGGGAAUAUUGCGCAAUGAGCGAAAGCCUGACGCAGCGACGCCGCGUGAGGGAUGAAGGUCUUCGGAUCGUAAACCUCUGUCAGCAGGGAAGAACGGUCACUGUGCUAAUCAGCAGUGAAUUGACGGUACCUGCAAAGGAAGCACCGGCUAACUCCGUGCCAGCAGCCGCGGUAAUACGGAGGUUGCGAGCGUUAAUCGGAAUUACUGGGCGUAAAGCGCUCGUAGGCGGUAUGUCAAGUCAAGGGUGAAAUCCCCGCGCUCAACGUGGGAACUGCCUUUGAAACGGGCAAACGGGAGUGGGUGAGAGGAUAGUGGAAUUCCAGGUGUAGGAGUGAAAUCCGUAGAUAUCUGGAGGAACAGCAGUGGCGAAGGCGACUAUCUGGCACAUAACUGACGCUGAGGAGCGAAAGCGUGGGUAGCAAACAGGAUUAGAUACCCUAGUAGUC